CGGGUGUCGCGGAAUGUGGUGUUCAGGAGGACCGUGCGCGUCUGUCCGGUAUCGUCCAAGUCUCCAUGAAUGGGGCCAGCAACCCAGAGAGGGUGUCAGGCCCGUGGUGACGAGCCGCGACCGUGCAUUGGGUCUCUCCUUAGAGUCGGGUUGCUUGAGAGUGCAGCCCUAAGCGGGAGGUAAACUCCUUCUAAGGCUAAAUACGGCCACGAGACCGAUAGCAAACAAGUACCGCGAGGGAAAGUUGAAAAGAACUUUGAAGAGAGAGUUCAAGAGUGCGUGAAACCGUUCAGGGGGUUAAACGGGUGGGCCCUCGAAGGUCGAACGGUCCCCAUCACGGCUCUCGUUGAGUCGGCCCGUGGCGCGCAGUGAUUCCUCUCGGAACACCGCGCCGCGGUUCGCCGGCUUGCGGGGGCUGUUAGCUGGGGGCCCAGUAGGACUCCGCAACCGGCUGGCGGGCCGUCAGAAGGGUUCUGGAGGAAGCCUCCUCGCGGGGUGGAUUCCGGGAUUUCCGGACGGUCCCGUCGGCCGUGAACCGAAAUUUCUUCCCUCACGGGGAGAAUGAGCGGAGAGUAGUGUCGGGUCCCACCCGACCCGUCUUGAAACACGGACCAAGGAGUCUAACAUGUGCGCGAGUCGUCGGGUACUACAAAACCCGAAGGCGCAAUGAAAGUGAAGGCCACCCUCGUUGGCGGCUGAAGGGAGAUCCCGUUCUGCUCCGGUAGCUCGGGCGCAUCCCCGGGGCGUCGAAGCCGCGUUGCCGGCUAGACGCACCAAGAGCGUACACGUUGGGACCCGAAAGAUGGUGACCUAUGCCUGACCAGGACGAACCC
rnacentral:rRNA from 1 species